CCAGUAGGAGCCCAGGGCCAGGCCGAGCAGGGUCAGCAGCCCCACCCCCAGGGAGGCCAGCAAGAUGGUGCUCUGUGGGUAGAGGAGGCAGCGUGACCACCAGCCCGGGGGAGCGCCGGGGGCUCAGCCCCCCAGCAGAUCCCACAAUGCGCCGCGGGCUUCGGGAGGCCGGCAGAGACGCCCUGCGCCCCACCCACCAGCAGGGUGCCCACCCUCCCCUCACCCAACGUUUUGACAACUUCUGCUUUUAAGAAAAAAGACUUGGAGUUGGUGUAUUGCACCAAAGUAAAGAACUCUGGAGUGGGAGGGGGAGAUACAGGUCCUGGAAAAGGAUGAUAGUGGACCUAGUGGGGUCGUAUUGUUAUGUGGUAAACUGAGAAAUGCUAUGCAUGUACAGACUAUUGUAUUUGCUGUAGAAUGUAAAACAUUAAUUCCCCAAUAAAGA